CUCCUAGUACGAGAGGACCGGAGUGGACGCAUCACUGGUGUUCGGGUUGUCAUGCCAAUGGCACUGCCCGGUAGCUAAAUGCGGAAGAGAUAAGUGCUGAAAGCAUCUAAGCACGAAACUUGCCCCGAGAUGAGUUCUCCCUGAGACCUUGAGUCUCCUGAAGGAACGUUGAAGACGACGACGUUGAUAGGUCGGGUGUGUAAGCGCAGCGAUGCGUUGAGCUAACCGAUACUAAUGAACCGUGAGGCUUAACCUUACAACGCCGAAGGUGUUU
rnacentral:rRNA from 1 species